GAUGAACGCUAGCGGCAGGCUUAAUACAUGCAAGUCGAGGGGGCAGCACUGUCACCGGCGAACGGGUGCGUAACGCGUAUGCAACCUACCUACAUCAGGGGGAUAGCCCUAGGAAACUGGGAUUAACACCGCAUAACAUAUGACAAGGCAUCUUGUUAUAUUGAAAUAUUUAUAGGAUGUAGAUGGGCAUGCGUAGGAUUAGCUAGUUGGUAAGGUAACGGCUUACCAAGGCUACGAUCCUUAGGGGCUCUGAGAGGAGUAUCGCCCACACUGGCACUGAGAUACGGGCCAGACUCCUACGGGAGGCAGUAGUAGGGAAUAUUGGGCAAUGGAGGCAACUCUGACCCAGCUAUGCCGCGUGCAGGAAGACGGUCCUCUGGAUUGUAAACUGCUUUUGAAUGGGAAGAAUGUGUGGCUUGCGAGCUAUAAUGACGGUACCAUUAGAAUAAGCCACGGCUAACUACGUGCCAGCCGCCGCAGUAA
rnacentral:rRNA from 1 species